GACGAACGCUGGCGGCGUGCUUAACACAUGCAAGUCGAACGGAAAGGCCCUGCUUUUGUGGGGUGCUCGAGUGGCGAACGGGUGAGUAACACGUGAGUAACCUGCCCUUGACUUUGGGAUAACUUCAGGAAACUGGGGCUAAUACCGGAUAGGAGCUCCUGCUGCAUGGUGGGGGUUGGAAAGUUUCGGCGGUUGGGGAUGGACUCGCGGCUUAUCAGCUUGUUGGUGGGGUAGUGGCUUACCAAGGCUUUGACGGGUAGCCGGCCUGAGGGUGACCGGCCACAUUGGGACUGAGAUACGGCCCAGACUCCUACGGGAGGCAGCAGUGGGGAAUAUUGCACAAUGGGCGGAAGCCUGAUGCAGCAACGCCGCGUGCGGGAUGACGGCCUUCGGGUCGUAAACCGCUUUCGCCUGUGACGAAGCGUGAGUGACGGUAAUGGGUAAAGAAGCACCGGCUAACUACGUG
rnacentral:rRNA from 1 species